CAAAAACUUCAAUGACCAAAUUAGAAAUAUUCAUUUUGAAAUUUUAAAACGAUAUUGUUUCCUUGACAACUGUUCAUUACCUUCUUCAUUAACAACGGUUUCUACAGUAAAAGGCGGUGAAGACGUUAGCGGUGGAGCUGCUUCAAUCAGGGGAGCACGUCUCACGGCUGUAUCCCUCUCCACCAUGAUGCACUCCGUCCGUUACAACCUUCCUGCAAUAAAUCCUGAAAAACAUGCAUCCUCUGGCUAUAAAAAGCUAGAGGAGAGAUGGAUAGAAAAAAAAAGGAGACAGGGAGGGAGAGCGAGAAGGACAAGAGAGAAAGUGGGGAGUAGCACGAGAGGGAGACAAAAAUGAGCAGAAGGAAAGAAUGUAAGCAGAGGAAAUCGUUGAGACCAAAACUAAAGAAAUAAAAGGAAAGAAGAAUAUUUAUUCAUAAUCUUCUAUUACAGCAGCAGGGGACAACGUAACAUUGCAGUAGGAGAGAAGCUCUGCAACUUGUGUUGGAGUUAAACUAAAACUCUGGAAGCUGUGUUAAGGUCUGAUUCUACAAUCUGAAUUGCAGGAGGAUUUGCAAUCCGUGUUGGAGUAGGAGUUUGUUGUCCUUCUUUCAAUAAAAACCAACGUUGCCAUUGUCUUUGUCAUCUCAAAAACCAGAGACGAAGAAGAAGAAGAGUGCAAAAAAGAAUUGAACGAAAAGGAGAAUCAGAAAUGAAAACAGUAGCAGAAGGAAAGAAAGAAACGUUGCUCAAUCAAAGCACUGAUCACCCUCAACUUCAUCUUCAGGCAGCAGCUCUAGGGGAUGUUUGAGAGGACUAGAGAGGGAGAGAAAGAAUAAAACAGGGAACAAGAGGAAGAACAGAGUAGAAGAGAAAAAAAAGUAGAAGGGAAACGCAGCGAAAGAAAGAAGAACCACCAACCAGUUAGCGCCACGGUACACAACCGCAACACCGUCCACCGCCACCGGCAGCACCGCUAGGCCGCGGGUCUACUUCUUCCUCUUCCUCCUCCUCUUCUUCUUCUUCUCCAGGCUGCUCCACUGUUCACGUUGCAUGUGAACAGUGGAGAGUCUCUCUACUGUUUGUUUUAGUUUUCUGGGCCGGACAGCGCUGGCCAAGCCCAAAAUGGUUGGGUCGGGUCCGGCCCAGUCAAGAAAAACAUUUUCUUCAAAAAAAACAUUUUAAAAAAUAUGUGAUUUUCCCGUGUAUUUUUCUACUAAAUUUUUCUUAGUAUUGGUUUGUAUUUUUAUACCGUAAAGGUACAAAUCUAGAAUUAAAAUACCCAAUUUUCGUCAAAACAUUGAAAAAAAAAACAUGUUUUUAUUUUCAUGCAUAUGGCCAAGUAUCUCAAAGAAAAAAAAUCAUAUCAUAUUUUCAUACAACAAAAAUUCAAAAAUAUAUAUUAACAUGCAUUUUGGUUUUAAUAACCAGUUUAUUAAAGUUACGAGAACUAGGCUAAUAUUUCAAAAAUUCCAAAAAAAUUAUUUUUUUUCUUUUAGUAUCUGGGGUUACGACCUUAUACGUAAGAUGUAUUCCGGAUAUUAAAUUCUUUUGUUGACGUUAGAACAAUUAAGUUUUACCCGAUAAGAUAAGGAUCUCCUUAUCGAGGAGGAUGUUAAAUUCUGACCAACCAUUACUAAAUUGCUACUAGUAUAACUAUCUCUUGCAAAUGGUAGCGAGGAUUUUAGGCUUCUAUCAAGCAAGGUUGCCAAUUCCAUUAUUGAUGUUUUAUUUUUUUAAUUGUAACAAUAUAUUUUGGUUUUUGAGUAUUUUGACGUGUCAUUUUGGAUUGUUCUAUAUAUACUUUGGACUCAUCAAAUCGAUUGGGUCAUAUUAAUUUAACUCUUUAUUUUUACUUAUAAUUAAAAUUUAAAUUGUAUAA